GAGACUGGGUGCUUCGGCGGGUGGCCCGCUAACCACGGGCUGCGUCGGACCCUCUCCAGGGGGUCCGGCACCCCGCCAGAGGCCUGAAACUCUUUGUUAUCAGUGGCCUCUCUGAGUAACUUAUACAAUAAGUCAAAACUUUCAACAACGGAUCUCUUGGUUC
rnacentral:misc_RNA from 1 species